UACGAAGGGGGCUAGCGUUGCUCGGAAUUACUGGGCGUAAAGGGCGCGUAGGCGGGUCGUUUAGUUAGAGGUGAAAGCCCAGGGCUCAACCCUGGAAUUGCCUUUAAUACUGGCGGCCUUGAGUGUGAGAGAGGUGUGUGGAACUCCGAGUGUAGAGGUGAAAUUCGUAGAUAUUCGGAAGAACACCAGUGGCGAAGGCGACACACUGGCUCAUUACUGACGCUGAGGCGCGAAAGCGUGGGGAGCAAAC
rnacentral:rRNA from 1 species